rnacentral:rRNA from 1 species
AAGAGAUGGGGUGCCCAAAGAAUGUCCCAGAUACGACCGCCCCGUUCCAACCCCCGCACGUGACCCUGCCUCCUCAUCGACUUCCCUCCUGGCCGUCGCCGCCUCUCCUCCUCUUCCUCCUCUCUCUCCCCUGCCGCCGCCGCUUCUCCUCCUCCCCCUCCCCCAUGCUAGCCCUCCACCUGCCAUCCACAGAGCCACAGGGUGGUCGAGUCAUCGGGGUGAGCAGCGGUGGCCAUCUGUGGUGUGUCGGGUGGAGGAGAUGAGGAGGGUGGGAAUGACGGCAGUGGGGGAAGGAGCAGCGAGGCCGGAGGAGCUCGCGCCGCCGCUGGUUGUGGAUGCGCUGCUGCAGCUCGUCUAGCGUCGACCUGGUCUUUUUCAUGUGAGGGCCUACAUAAGAAAAGCUCCCAUGGGAGCUUCUGCCCAUACUCCGAGUUGAAUUUACAGGUGAUGUAUCCAUGGAGACAAGAUGUUUGUAAAAUUGCCUGAGAGGGUUGUGUGGAUUUUACAAGUUGUUAUUGCUAUUACUUAUCUUGUAAAUUGUUUGUUAUUCCUUUCACCUAUUAUGUGGUUACUUUUGAGGUGUUUUUUGGUUAUGUCAUGACACAGGCUUAUCAAACGGCGGCGUUGCCUCUAGCAUCAGACACGGUGUGGCUGGUUGUUGUGUUUUACACCCACAGGAAGGCCCUUCGCUCAGCUGGAGUUUCCUUAGAAAAUGCGCCUGGCCGUGAGGGGUUGUGGAAGGGUGCCCUUGACGAGCAGGACAAUACCACGUCCCUUGCUCAUCGGUCUGACUGACAUGGCCAUCUUCAUAAAUGGGAUGGAGAGCUGUUGAGGGAGGCCCUGUCAUGGACUGGCCGAGACUGUCGAGCAUCGUGUUGAAAAUCCUCAGAGAGGUUGCGAUAUGCUUUGUCAACCAAUGGAUGCUGGCCGAGGUCGCCCAGGUCGAGAGCGCGCCCACCAGCCUGAAGCUCAUCCACAAGCCCUGAACUCAAGGUCAGCAACGGAGAUGGGUGUCCCUACCAGUGGCUCUUCAAGAGAGAGGAGCAAGAACAUGAUGGCGGCGGGGUGUUCGGUUUGUGGUCCACUUCGAUGCGGGAUGUGGAGGCGCGAUCCGACAAAGCCUCCCGAUGCUCCAACCACUCUUCCCAUCAACGCCAAGGAGCAGCAGCCUCCGCAGAUUCUAUGAUGACUGAUGCAAAGUCCGUGCUGUGCUCCUAUGAUCGAGGAAUUUGCAGCAGGUCUGAUCCCUUGCGCGUGCUCCUCCGCUUGUCCUCACCCUCUCGACCCUCCCCUUGCUCAUCACCAUCCAUUUUAUUCAGAGUGUAGAUGGCGGGCAAAACACCUAAGCUCCAGAGCAAGGAUGAAAGCACUCCAUACACACCCGCAAGGAUGAUGAUCCAUCUGUUUCUAGGAUGGUGGGACUUGAGGCAUGCACUAGAAUCAAGGAUUAGCUACUUGAUGAAAAUAUACAGGAGACUCUCCUACUCAACAUGACGUUAAAAAAAAGAAUCAAGGAUCAGUUCAAUGGGAAUUGGAAUGAUGAAAACACUUGUUUGAGCACAUGUGAUCCUCAUAAUAGCAUAUUUGUAAUAAAUCAUUGUAGUCAAAACACUUUUUUAUAAUUCUGUAGUCAAAUCACUUACUGUUGUGUAUAAGUGCCAUUAAGGAUCAACCUAAACCUGCGAAGGUGCAUAAACUAGAUAAGUGCGCACAUGAACGCUCAGGAGGCGUGCCAAUGGCACGCCCCAACCACUAGUAAUCAUCAUAAGUAGCAACUUUGUUCUCAUCAUAAUCAAUUGAAACCUCUUCCAAGAUAGUGGAAUCAUUACUAAAUAAAGUCAUGACCUCUUCAAAUUCACUUUCAUAAUUGUCAAAAUAAGAUUCAACAUCAUCCAAAAUAGUGGGAUCAUUACUUCCAAACCCACUUUCAUCAAUAUAACCAUCAUAAGUAGGAGGCAUGCUAUCAUCAUAAUAAAUUUCCAUAUCAAAAUUUGGGGGACUAAAAUAUCAUCUUCAUCAAAUGUAGCAUCCCCAAGCUUGGGACAAACAUUAAUUGCAGCCAAUACAUUCUCAAACAUGUCAUUCUCAUCAAAUAUAGCAUCCCCAAGCUUGGGCCUUUUCAUACCAUAAGCAUAAUCACUCUCAUCAUUAAUAGUAUGGAUAUCACCAAUAGUAUAGCAAUUAUCAUCAUCACAAUGAGUAACAGGAGCAACAUCAUUUGGGAGGGAUACCUUUUCACCUUUACUUCUCCGUCUUUUCUUUUUCUUCUUCACAUUAUGUGUGGGUUCAAUCC